AUGUUGUCUAACUCAUAGACAUAAUAAAUACCUAGACGCCUCAUUGGCCGCUCGACCGCACGUCAACGUCGCCGCCAUAUUGGUGAAGGCAACUCUCAUAUCGGGACAGGCGAAAACAUAUCUGACUCGUCGGCAGCUUGGGCAUCUACAAACCGUUGCACAAUAAUAAAAACAGACCUCGGGGUAUUAUCUUUCACAGCCAAUUGCAAACAGGACAACGCAAGCCUUAAGGAAAGCUGAAGAAAGCCUGUUCUCUGCAUUUCCAAGAGAGUAGGCUAUACUUCCACAGCCUAAUGUUGUAUUAGAACU